rnacentral:rRNA from 1 species
UAAUUGGAAACGAUAGCUAAUACCGCAUAAAAUUGAUUAUCGCAUGAUAAUCAAUUGAAAAGGUGCAAAUGCAUCACUACCAGAUGGACCUGCGUUGUAUUAGCUAGUUGGUGGGGUAACGGCUCACCAAGGCGACGAUACAUAGCCGACCUGAGAGGGUGAUCGGCCACACUGGGACUGAGACACGGCCCAGACUCCUACGGGAGGCAGCAGGU